rnacentral:tRNA from 1 species
GCUCCGAUCGUCUAGCCCGGUCAAGGACACCGGCCUUUCGAGCCAGUAACCCGGGUUCGAACAACCCUUUCUUCGCUCGCUCACUCCGCUUUUGCUCCGUUCGACUCGCUCGAAAGCGUUGACGGAAAACGAGGACAAGGUUCCGAAAAUCCCGGUCGGAGCA